AGUGAACGCUGGCGGUAGGCCUAACACAUGCAAGUCGAACGGCAGCACAGUAAGAGCUUGCUCUUACGGGUGGCGAGUGGCGGACGGGUGAGGAAUACAUCGGAAUCUACUUUUUCGUGGGGGAUAACGUAGGGAAACUUACGCUAAUACCGCAUACGACCUACGGGUGAAAGCAGGGGAGCUUCGGACCUUGCGCGAUUGAAUUAGCCGAUGUCGGAUUAGCUAGUUGGCGGGGUAAAGGCCCACCAAGGCGACGAUCCGUAGCUGGUCUGAGAGGAUGAUCAGCCACACUGGAACUGAGACACGGUCCAGACUCCUACGGGAGGCAGCAGUGGGGAAUAUUGGACAAUGGGCGCAAGCCUGAUCCAGCCAUACCGCGUGGGUGAAGAAGGCCUUCGGGUUGUAAAGCCCUGUUGUUGGGAAAGAAAAGCAGCAGGUUAAUACCCCGCUGUUCUGACGGUACCCAAAGAAUAAGCACCGGCUAACUUCGUG
rnacentral:rRNA from 1 species